rnacentral:rRNA from 1 species
AUUGAACGCUGGCGGCAGGCCUAACACAUGCAAGUCGAGCGGAUGAAGGGAGCUUGCUUCUGGUUUCAGCGUCGGACGGGUGAGUAAAACCUAUGAAUCUGCUUGCUUGUGGUUUAUAACGUCCGGAAGCGGGCGCUAAUACUGCAUACUUCCUGAGGGAGCAGGAGGGUGAUCUUCGGACCGUAUCCUAGCAGAUGAGCGUAGGUCGGAUUAGAUAGUUGGUGGGGUAAGGACCUACCAAGCCGACCAACCGUAACUGGUCUGAGAGAAUGAUCAGUCACACGGGAACUGAACCACGGUCAAGACUACUAAGAGAGGCAGCAGUGGGGAAUAGUGGACAAUAGGCGAAAGCCUGAUCCAGCGAUGCCGCGUGUGUGAAGAAGGUCUUCGGAUUGUAAAGCACUUUAAGUUGGGAGGAAGGGCAGUAAGUUAAUACCUUGCUGUUUUGACGUUACCAACAGAAGAAGCACCGGCUAACUUCGUG